AGAUUGAAAAUAUUAGAAGAAAACAUAACUACCUGCCUUUCAUUAUGGAAUUAUUAAAGACUCUAGCAGAGCACCAACAGUUAAUACCAUUAGUAGAAAAAGCGAAAGAAAAACAGAAUGCCAAGAAAGUUCAGGAGGCCAAGUGAAGAAGAUGACUUUGCAAAAUACAUACAAUUAUGUGCUUCUGAAACUGUUUUCUUGACAACAAAUAAAACUUUUCAGAAACAAAAUUUUAAGUCUUGUCCAGCGCACGUUUGACAAUUGUAACAGUUUGUCUUGUACUGUAUGCACGGGUCUCAUUUUCUUCCUUCCCUUGCAUCUUGUGCAUGUAGUACUGCUAAAUAAUGUUUAGGUUCUCUUGGUCAAAUCCAAUAUUUAACAGUUUAUCUGAUUUCUAAAAGCUUGGGAAGUGGACCUAGAAAUAUGCAAGGAAAAUGUACACGUUUUGUCCCACUUGAAUAUAUGGUAAUGAUGCAAAUGCCAGAGUAUAAGUAUAAGCAUGAGCUUUCUUUGCUCAUCCCUACUAACAAUUACAAUAUUAUCCAAUUGUUCAGUGACAUACCCUGUGUCUUUUUUUUUUUAUGAAGUAUGUGUCUAAUUUUUUUACAAAAUUGAAAGGUAUGAAUUUAGUUGUAGAAACAUUUGCAAAGACCAAUGUAUAAUCUCAAAAGAUCUGCAUUGCUUUAGUAGAAAAGAUAAUAAAUAUUCCCAUUUUUAUUUUGGCAAA